UAGGGAAUCUUCGGCAAUGGACGGAAGUCUGACCGAGCAACGCCGCGUGAGUGAAGAAGGUUUUCGGAUCGUAAAGCUCUGUUGUAAGAGAAGAACGAGUGUGAGAGUGGAAAGUUCACACUGUGACGGUAUCUUACCAGAAAGGGACGGCUAACUACGUGCCAGCAGCCGCGGUAAUACGUAGGUCCCGAGCGUUGUCCGGAUUUAUUGGGCGUAAAGCGAGCGCAGGCGGUUAGAUAAGUCUGAGGUUAAAGGCUGUGGCUUAACCAUAGUAGGCUUUGGAAACUGUUUAACUUGAGUGCAAGAGGGGAGAGUGGAAUUCCAUGUGUAGCGGUGAAAUGCGUAGAUAUAUGGAGGAACACCGGUGGCGAAAGCGGCUCUCUGGCUUGUAACUGACGCUGAGGCUCGAAAGCGUGGGGAGCAAACAGGAUUAGAUACCCUGGUAGUCCACGCUGUAAACGAUGAGUGCUAGGUGUUAGACCCUUUCCGGGGUUUAGUGCCGUAGCUAACGCAUUAAGCACUCCGCCUGGGGAGUACGACCGCAAGGUUG
rnacentral:rRNA from 1 species